ensembl:snRNA U6 U6 spliceosomal RNA
AUGCUUGCUUCAGCAGCACGUAUACUAACAUUGGAACAAUGCAGAGAAGAUUACCAUGGCCCCUGCUCGAGGAUGACAUGCAAAUUCAUAAAGCAUUCCAUCCUUUA